UGGUAUCAGAGCAGCAUUCUUGGCAUCUCGCUGCCCUUCCACUGCCAUCCAUCAGCCCUCCACAACCGCCCAAAGUAAUUCCCACAAUUGCUUAAAAGAUCAUCGCCGAAUUCUGCCAUCAUCUCCACCACCGCGGAUCAUCCUUUGAUCUCCCCGUGAAUUGCAACAGGUUCUGGUUUCCUACCUUACUGCUACUGCAAAUUAGUUAUCCUUAUUCGAAAAUC
rnacentral:lncRNA from 1 species